rnacentral:rRNA from 1 species
CCUACGGGAGGCAGCAGUGAGGAAUAUUGGUCAAUGGGCGAGAGCCUGAACCAGCCAAGUCGCGUGAGGGAGUACUGCCCUAUGGGUUGUAAACCUCUUUUCUCGGGGAGCAAAAGCCGGACGUGUCCGGCUGUGAGAGUACCCGAAGAAAAAGCAUCGGCUAACUCCGUGCCAGCAGCCGCGGUAAUACGGAGGAUGCGAGCGUUAUCCGGAUUUAUUGGGUUUAAAGGGUGCGCAGGCGGAUUUUUAAGUCAGCGGUCAAAUCGCGGGGCUCAACCCCGCUCCGCCGUUGAAACUGUGUCCCUUGAGUGCGCGAAGGGUAGGCGGAAUGCGUGGUGUAGCGGUGAAAUGCAUAGAUAUCACGCAGAACUCCGAUCGCGAAGGCAGCCUACCGGCGCGCAACUGACGCUCAUGCACGAAAGCGUGGGUAUCGAACAGGAUUAGAUACACCGGUAGUC